GACAACACCACAGCCUUCAACACUGACGAACAACAACAGUAACCAACAACAAUUUCGACCCGACUCAGCUCUUACCCGAAUGACCCGAAUUCAACCAGCAACAAUGACCAUCCAAUCCACCGUAACAAUGCCAAAACAACAACUUCAACAUCCGCAAUUCGAACCCACCAAUAACCCGAUGUCAACUAGAAAAAUUUGAACAACCGAACUAACUCAUCAAUGACCAGAAUCCAUCCAAAUUGACCCAAGUCCAUCAACCCACAACCGAUCCGACCUCAAACCGUUGCUCACGUGCCCCUACCACGCGAAUCCAUGCGAGAAGAGUCUUGAAGCUUCCGAAAAUUGAUGCGUUGGCCCCUCCAACGUUCGAAUCCUGAGAUUUUUGGGUUGAUUUGUACAAUUUUGUACAUAUCUGGAUAAUUUUCAUUGGUUUGGAUUACAAUUCAUUUUGCAAAAAUUUAAUUUGUUCACCUUUUUUUUUCAAUUCCUCUCAAGAAAUCCAAAAAGGGGUACAAAUUGAGAAUGAAAACAGAACCUGUGAGGGAUUUUGAAUUUGAAUUUCAAAAUAUCCUAUUUUCAAAUCUCUAAAAUACCCCCAAUGUUGUCUUCUAUAUAAGAACCCACUGGGUACUGCUUAAAGAGAGAAAAAUUUUGUGUUGAAAAAGAGGGGGAAGAAAAAUUCGAAAAGGAAAAUAGUUUCUUUUAGAGAAAGAGUUUCUUUUCCUUUCUUAUUUCUUAAAGUUGGUCGGUUAAUCGAAGGAUCCUGAGUUGAUAACGCUGAUUUUCGAUGGUGGCGCAUCUCGACAUUGUCUCGUUAUCCCAUUUUGCUGCCCCGAAAGAGGCUAUUGAUGCCCAUCUUCCGAGUCAAUUCCUAGAGAAAGCCUUAAACAAAUUACAUGACAUACGGAUACAAGGAGUUGAAAAAAGGAAAAAUGGGUUAAAGUCCCAUAUUUGAAGCAGCAAAGAGACGCGAGAGUCUCGUUUUCAUUUAAUCUAUUUAUUUUUUCAUUUUAUUAUUCAUUUGUUUUGGGCGUAGAAGUCAAAGUUGUAAAGUAAUACCGGUUAAAUCGAUUGUGGUUUGAAAGCCCAAAAGACUAGUUUAGGAAAGGUACAGGUGGGUCAAAAAGCCCAAAACGGGUUCUCAGAUUUGGGCCCCAAGUGGUCCAGAUCCCUCUCUUUCUUUUA